UUGGCCCUUGGUUUGUGCUCUCCAGCCUGCUGGGCGCUCUCUCCCCGCGCGGGGGCACCAGAGCCCUCGGAAGUGUCUGGCACUGCGGUGCCUUUUCCCAGUUCCUUUUAAAUGACUGCGGAAAAACAGCCUCUCUGAGCCGCAAAUGGGAAGACGGAUUCACAGACCAGGCUUGCAAAUGCCCCACAGCUAUCGCAGCCAUCAUCUAACUGAGCCCACAGAGCCGUUAUGGUUUGUCACCCGGCCCUCCCGGAUCGCUUAUUUGUCUCUAGUGAGACCCUGAGGCUUUGGUCCUACCCGGCUUCUUGGUAGCUGGAUGCCUGUCGUGCUCUCGGUAGCGCGGGCGCGGGGCACGCGUUUGCGCACACUCGCGCUCCUAGGAAAACGCACAAGAGCUGAACCGAACCGGGUUUCAACCAUUUCAAAAAAGGAGACAGCCUCUACCGCAAUUGUCGAAGAGACCGCGGUGUGAAUUAGGAACUGGGAGGCGUCGAGCGGCGGAACGGUCCAUCUCAGAGACUAAUUUUCUGGAGUUUCUGCCCCUGCUCUGCGUCAGCCCUCACGUCACUUCGCCAGCAGUAGCAGAGGCGGAGGCAGCAGCGGCGGCGGCGGUGGCUCCCGGAAUUGGGUUGGAGCAGGAGUCUCGCUCGCUCCUUCGCUUGCGCUCUCUGCGCUCAGUGCUCGGCGGCAGGAGGAG